rnacentral:rRNA from 1 species
GGAUCAGUACGCUGGUCGUGCCUUGGUAUGCACUGGUGUCACUGAUUCCUCCCUUCUGAAGAACCGUUAUGCCAUUUAUUUGGUGUGAUGGGGAAUCAGGACUGUUACUUUGAAAAAAUUAGAGUGUUUAAAGCAGGCUCGCGCUUGAAUACAUUAGCAUGGAAUAAUGAAAUAGGACGUUUGAUCUUAUUUUGUUGGUUUCUUAGAUCGACGUA